rnacentral:rRNA from 1 species
GAAAAUUCAACCAAGCGCGGGUAAACGGCGGGAGUAACUAUGACUCUCUUAAGGUAGCCAAAUGCCUCGUCAUCUAAUUAGUGACGCGCAUGAAUGGAUUAACGAGAUUCUCACUGUCCCUAUCUACCAUCUAGCGAAACCACAGCUAAGGGAACGGGCUUAGCAUAAUCAGCGGGGAAAGAAGACCCUGUUGAGCUUGACUCUAGUCAGACUUUGAGAAAUGACAUGAAGAAUAUAGCAUAGGUGGGAGAUUACUUAAAAUGAUCGACUUUGAAAUACCACUGUCUUUAUAGUUGUUUUUCUUAUUUAAUUGGGUAGAAACAGGGCCAAAAAGCCCUUUUUCUUGAGUUAAUUGGAAUGAUACGCUUGGGGGGGUAUUAUUGUUUGGUCUCUGAAAGGGGAUCAAGUGGUAGUAUCUUUUAUCCCCAGGCCUCUGCAUCCGAGAUCUAGGUUAAAGACAUUGUCUGGUGGGGGAGUUUGGCUGGGGCGGCACAUCUGUUAAAAGCUAACACAGGUGUCCUAAGAGGAGC